rnacentral:lncRNA from 12 species
UCUUGGUUGCUACCACCAAGUCGAGUUGCAAUUUCUUAAGCUGGGUUCCCAGAUCCUUAUUCAGCCCAGAUCCCAGUGCAUAGUGGGUUUCCCAUAGUGGUGCAGUGAACAAAUGAGUGAAUAAAUGACAGAUCAAGACACAUCUCCACCUUUUUCCAAUCCACAGAAUGUGUUGUUCUGGAAUCAGCUCAGAGCAGAAUCAUCAGCAAAUACAAGGUGGCUGCAUACCCCCUGGGCAGAGGUUCUCCUAGAGAGAGGCUCCCGCAGUCACCUGCAGGGCUCGGAGUGGCUGUCCCAGCAGCUACCUGGUCUUGUGAAGGUGGAUCUUGCUGUGUGUAAACUGUGGCCAUGCUGCUCAGGACUGAACUUGUUUCUGGUUCCCUCUGGAAGGCUCUGAGGACAGGCCGAAUUGCAAAAUACGGAAGAUUUUCCAGGUGAUGGGCUCUGUCCUUGAGUCGUCUCCCAGGCCUGGCCUCAGGGUGGCCACUCUGAAGAUUUCAUCACUCUGGCCGGAUGAUGAUGACGAUGAUGACGAUGGUGAUGCUAGCAAACCUACCUGGGGGGCUCUCCAUGCUUUGUGGCCUUUGGUCUUCAUCAGUUUGCCCUGUGGUGGCCUGGCUGUGGAAUCCCUGCUCAUGUUGUCCAAGCCAGCGAGCCAGAGAGCAGAGGAACUGGGUAGGAGUAGAGACAGGGCUCCUUGCACUGCAAAUACCUUCUGCUCCACAAUCACAACUGCACUUGUGCCAAGUUCUGAGUCUGCUUGGCUUUUGAGGGUACUGAGCUUGGAGCUGAAGUCGGCUGCCCCUUUGGAAUCAGAAUUUGGUUUCCUCUUGGAAAAAGUCUACUUCCUGAUUGCUCAAGAAAGAGAAGAACAUUUUUAA